rnacentral:lncRNA from 1 species
CAGGGGUGUCCUGACAUGCCUUAGAUCCUCAAAGAUCUAAAAACUUUUCUAGAAUGGGAAGCAGUACAGGAUCCUUUCUCAAGAGGACCCAGGCUUUGGGUCUGAAAACUGGCUCAGCUCUGGAAAUUGUGGGCCCAUCAGGCUUCUCCUAAUAGCUCUUGAUUUUUAUUUUUUGGCCAGUUCUACAAGCCAUGCAACACUCUAUUGGCUGCUCCUCUAUCUCGUUCCUAAGAACACCAUGGUCUAUUAACCAUCAUCAAAACCUCUGUGGGUGGAGGCCCACAGGUCGCCCCUCUGGCUCUGUUGCCUGUUACGGUCUAUGUCUGGUUUGGCUCUGAGAGUUAAGCACUGGCAUCUGGCCUUCGUUAUUCUGGGAUCCCAUCAUUGCCCUUGACACGAGGGAGACUGCUUCGAAGGAGGAGUCACCUAUUUUCAGUCUGGCCCACAGCAGAGGGUCAUCACUAGGCUUCUCAGAGAGGAUGCCCCUUGCUGACAUAGUCUUUAUCGCCUAGUGAAAAUAAUGUUCUUUGAACCCUUCCAAGAAGCAUAUGUCUCACACGAUAGAUUUGUUCUAACAUUCCUGGCUCCCUGAGCAUUGUGAGUCCUUCUUCAGUUUCCUGCCGUGGCACUCCGGACUCUGCCUGUAAUUCACUGUCAGGCAUCACCAUGUCCAAGCCUCAAGGAGCCAUUCAGAAACACACUACUACAAACUGUAAGGGGCUUCCAAGUCAAGAACCUCUCCCUUGCAUUCAUAUUCUGCUCCCCUCCUUGUUCUCCUGUUUAACAUCCUCAAAAAUCACUCCCACGCAUGUGCCCCUAGUUCACGCUGAUGCCUCUCAGCCAAGCCCUGCACCGCUUUCCGAGGAUAAGAUGUUUUCUGCUGGAUUGGGCACUCUGCUUCUCCACUCGGGCUGCCUCAGGACUAGUGACUGGUCCAGGAGCAGUGAAUGGAGGCAGAGGCACAUCUUCAGGAGAACUACAUAUUUGUGUGACAGUCACUGUCAAGAAUCUAGUCUCACCCAGAUCUGGAGAAGAAAACAGAAGCAACAUUCAGGACUUCAACCAAAUAUACAUUAAGACUUUAAUGGAUCUUUUGUGUCAGUGCCAGAAUCUGAGAAAAGAUGUCUUCAGUGUGAAGGAAAGGGGUUUUCAGUCUUCCCAGCUCCUUGUGGGAUAUCUACAUCCUUGGCUGCCUCAUAAGAAGACAAUGUGGAAGGUAAUAAAUGCUUGCUGUUUUGUUUUGUUUUGUUUUUUUAUUUUUUUUAAAUUUUUAAAUUUUUAAAUUCAAUUAGCCAACUUAUAAUAAAUACAUCCUUAGUUUUGGACGUAGCA